rnacentral:misc_RNA from 1 species
GGAAGUUGAUCUCCAUUUUCUGUGAAAGGCAGAAAAGACUGGAAGUUACUAGCACCACGACUGGCUGUAGUGUUGCUUCCAGCAAAUUUUCGAGGUUUCAGACAUUGACAACUGUUACCACGAACACCUCCUGCACCACAGUCACAGAAGAAGCGACUGGACCUAGAAUAGACCACACGAUGACCCCGAUGACAAACUUUUGCACAAACAGAGCAACAGCCUUUAGACACAGUCAGAUCACAUGUGUAGCAGAAGUACCAAUGCUGUUCCAUAAAAUUGCUACCGCUGGACGUAAAUGUACAAACUUUAGAAGCGAGGGCCCUU